rnacentral:misc_RNA from 1 species
GAUGAAGAACGUAGUGAAAUGCGAUAAGUAAUGUGAAUUGCAGAAUUCAGUGAAUCAUCGAAUCUUUGAACUCACCUUGCGCCCUUUGGCUAUUCUGAAGGGCAUGCCUGUUUGAGUAUCGUGAACACCUCAACUCUCAUGGUCUGCCAUGAUGAGCUUGGACUUUGGGGGUCUUGCUGGCCUACUGUCAGCUCCUCUCAAAUGAAUCAGCUUACCAGUGUUUGGUGGCACCACAGAUGUGAUAACUAUCUACGCUUGUGGUUUUCUGCCAGGUAACCUCCAGUGAUGGAGGUUCGCUGGAGCUCACAAAUGUCUCUCCUCAGCGAGGACAGCUUUUUGAACGUUUGAUCUCAAAUCAGGUAGGACUACCCGCUGAACUUAAGCAUAUCAAUAAGCGGAGGA